rnacentral:other from 1 species
UUUUGAUUAAUACAGAUCUCAAAAUCAUGCCUCUUUUUUAAGCGUGAUUGUCUCAAUAGAAUUGCUGUGUGUAGUCUUUGCCUGUCAGCCCAUGAUAGGCUUUUUUUUAU